rnacentral:rRNA from 1 species
AGUUGCCAUCAUUCAGGUUGGGCACUCUAGCGAGACUGCCGGUAAUAAACCGGAGGAAGUGGGAUGACGUCAAAUCAUCAUGCCCCUUAUGACCUGGGCUACACACGUGCUACAAUGGUUGGUACAACGAGUUGCGAGUCGGUGACGGCGAGCUAAUCUCUUAAAGCCAAUCUCAGUUCGGAUUGUAGGCUGCAACUCGCCUACAUGAAGUCGGAAUCGCUAGUAAUCGCGGAUCAGCACGCCCGCGGUCCGAAUACGUUCCGGGCCUU